rnacentral:rRNA from 1 species
UACGGGGGGAGCAAACGUUGUUCGGAAUCACUGGGCGUAAAGGGCGCGUAGGCGGCCAGAUAAGUGGGGUGUUAAAUCUCCCGGCUCAACCGGGAACCUGCACCUCAUACUGCCUGGCUUGAGUACAGCAGAGGAGACUGGAAUUCCCGGUGUAGCGGUGAAAUGCGUAGAUAUCAGGAGGAACACCGGUGGCGAAGGCGGCUUUCUGGACAGAUACCGACGCUGAGGCACGAAAGCUAGGGGAGCAAACAGG